CUCAUAAUAGCUUCUUUGACUUUCAUUGGCGCAACUUUGGUCCUUGUGUUGAUAAACAGCAAUAAAAGUUUCCAAAGGUGAUGGAAAGACUGGAGGAAAGACUAGGUGCUGAGAGCUCUCUUAUACUUGCAUUGAGGCAAUUAAACAAAACUGAGCAAUUACAAAUGCCUGUGAAGCCAUGUGUCCCAAACAUUCUGGUUUCCU